rnacentral:rRNA from 1 species
UGCAAGUCGAACGGACAGACAGAGAGCUUGCUCUCUUGAAGUUAGUGGCGAACGGGUGAGUAACGCGUAAUCAACCUGCCCUUCAGAGGGGGAUAACAACGGGAAACCGUUGCUAAUACCGCGUACGAUUCACGAGCGGCAUCGCUUGUGAAUGAAAGGUGGCCUCUAUUUAUAAGCUAUCACUGAAGGAGGGGAUUGCGUCUGAUUAGCUAGUUGGAGGGGUAACGGCCCACCAAGGCAAUGAUCAGUAGCCGGUCUGAGAGGAUGAACGGCCACAUUGGGACUGAGACACGGCCCAAACUCCUACGGGAGGCAGCAGUGGGGAAUCUUCCGCAAUGGACGAAAGUCUGACGGAGCAACGCCGCGUGAGUGAUGAAGGUCUUCGGAUUGUAAAGCUCUGUUAAUCGGGACGAAAGAGUUCUGUGUGAAUAAUGCAGAAAAGUGACGGUACCGGAAUAGAAAGCCACGGCUAACUACGUGCCAGCAGCCGCGGUAAUACGUAGGUGGCAAGCGUUGUCCGGAAUUAUUGGGCGUAAAGCGCGCGCAGGCGGCCUAUCCAGUCUGUCUUAAAAGUUCGGGGCUCAACCCCGUGAUGGGAUGGAAACUAGUAGGCUAGAGUAUCGGAGAGGAAAGCGGAAUUCCUAGUGUAGCGGUGAAAUGCGUAGAUAUUAGGAAGAACACCAGUGGCGAAGGCGGCUUUCUGGACGAAAACUGACGCUGAGGCGCGAAAGCCAGGGGAGCGAACGGGAUUAGAUACCCCGGUAGUCCUGG